rnacentral:rRNA from 1 species
GUGAGGAAUAUUCCACAAUGGGGGAAACCCUGAUGGAGCGAUGCCGCGUGCAGGAAGACGCUUUUCGGAGUGUAAACUGCUUUUAAUAGGGAAGAUUAUGACGGUACCUAUAGAAAAAGGACCGGCUAACUACGUGCCAGCAGCCGCGGUAAUACGUAGGGUCCAAGCGUUAUUCGGAAUUACUGGGCGUAAAGCGUACGUAGGCGGUUUGGUAAGUUGGAUGUGAAAUCCCCCUGCUCAACGGGGUGGACUGUGUCCAAAACUACCUAACUAGAGCAUAGUAGAGGCAAGUGGAAUUUGCGGUGUAGGAGUGACAUCCGUAGAUAUCGCAAGGAACACCAAUGGCGAAGGCAGCUUGCUGGGCUAUUGCUGACGCUCAGGUACGAAAGCGUGGGGAGCGAACGGGAUUAGAUACCCCAGUAGUCC